rnacentral:rRNA from 1 species
UGGGGAAUAUUGCGCAAUGGGGGGAACCCUGACGCAGCCAUGCCGCGUGAAUGAAGAAGGCCUUCGGGUUGUAAAGUUCUUUCGGUAUUGAGGAAGGUUGAUGUGUUAAUAGCACAUCAAAUUGACGUUAAAUACAGAAGAAGCACCGGCUAACUCCGUGCCAGCAGCCGCGGUAAUACGGAGGGUGCGAGCGUUAAUCGGAAUAACUGGGCGUAAAGGGCACGCAGGCGGUUAUUUAAGUGAGGUGUGAAAGCCCUGGGCUUAACCUAGGAAUUGCAUUUCAGACUGGGUAACUAGAGUACUUUAGGGAGGGGUAGAAUUCCACGCGUAGCGGUGAAAUGCGUAGAGAUGUGGAGGAAUACCGAAGGCGAAGGCAGCCCCUUGGGAAUGUACUGACGCUCAUGUGCGAAAGCGUGGGGAGCAAACAGGAUUAGAUACCCUGGUAGUCCACGCUGUAAACGCUGUCGAUUUGGGGGUUGGGGUUUAACUCUGGCGCCCGUAGCUAACGUGAUAAAUCGACCGCCUGGGGAGUACGGCCGCAAGGUUA